AUCUAUGGCCAAGUCACCCUGAAAGCGCCCGCUCUCAGAAGCUAAACAGGGUAGUACUUGGAUGGGAGACCACCUGGGAACACCGGCUAUUGUAG
rnacentral:rRNA from 1 species